AUGAGAGCGGCGCACGGGUGCGUAACGCGUAUACAAUCUGCCUCUUACUGCGGGAUAGCCCAGAGAAAUUUGGAUUAAUAUCGCAUAGUAUAAUUACUUGGCAUCAAGUUAUUAUUAAAGGUUACGGUAAGAGAUGAGUAUGCGUUCUAUUAGCUAGAUGGUGUGGUAACGGCACACCAUGGCAACGAUAGAUAGGGGCCCUGAGAGGGGGAUCCCCCACACUGGUACUGAGACACGGACCAGACUCCUACGGGAGGCAGCAGUGAGGAAUAUUGGACAAUGGAGGCAACUCUGAUCCAGCCAUGCCGCGUGCAGGAAGACGGCCCUAUGGGUUGUAAACUGCUUUUAUACGGGAAGAAACACCACUACGUGUAGUGACUUGACGGUACCGUAAGAAUAAGGAUCGGCUAACUCCGUGCCAGCAGCCGCGGUAAUACGGAGGAUCCAAGCGUUAUCCGGAAUCAUUGGGUUUAAAGGGUCCGUAGGUGGAUGAUUAAGUCAGAGGUGAAAUCCUGCAGCUCAACUGUAGAAUUGCCUUUGAUACUGGUUAUCUUGAAUCAUUAUGAAGUAGUUAGAAUAUGUAGUGUAGCGGUGAAAUGCAUAGAUAUUACAUAGAAUACCAAUUGCGAAGGCAGAUUACUAAUAAUGUAUUGACACUGAUGGACGAAAGCGUGGGGAGCGAACAGGAUUAGAUACCCUGGUAGUCCACGCCGUAAACGAUGGAUACUAGCUGUUCGGAUUUAUCUGAGUG
rnacentral:rRNA from 1 species